AAGCUGGGCAGCCCUGCCAAGGUCACAUAGCCAACACGUGGCUGAGGCAGGCCCAGAACCCAGGACUACUGAGCUCCAGGGCUCUCCCGAUGGCCCUGCCCACCCAGCCUGCCCUGUUCUGCACACUGCCCAGCCGCUCCCUGAGAAGAGAUGGGGUAUCCAUCACUGGCUAUCCCUAACCUAUUACCCUGAGCCUGAGUCCAGGUGGAAGGAGCAACACAGGAGGCGCUGAAGGAUUUGGGACCUCUAAGGAGAAGGUUGAGAGAACACAAAGUUCCUAGGAAGGAAAACAAACAAAACACAACAAUGUGAAGAGCUAUUUGCAACUCCCUUAUUCUGACACGUGUCUAAUAUGAGCACCCACAAGAGGCGGCAUCGUCAGGGGCUAGAUGGGAGGACAAAAGGUCAAAAAGAAGAGUUUGUGGGCUGCGUGGUCAGAGAAUUCAGAAUGGGAAGGACCAGAGGUUCAGCCCAAUGCCUUUGUUUUUACAGCUUUCUAGGACCUAAAGAAUGAAGAGCCUGGAGCAGACGCUCCCUGGGAUACAUGAAUGAGCGAAUGAACAAGAGGACCCAUCACCUCUACAGCUGAGCGAGCAGAGCACAGAAACCUAUGUGGUGCUUCCAUGGGAACCCCAGCUUGCUCUGGUUUCUCACCCCAUGAAAGUGGAGGCAGGAGGAAGGCCCUUCCAUUCACCAAAGCUGAAGCUCCAACCAGGAACCAAUCACAGCCCUGGAAGGAGGCAGAAACUUUGGUUCCCAUGGCAACGCAGACAAAGGCCUCUCAACACAGCUAUCAGCUGGAGUAGGGAUGUGGACUGCUUUCCACCCCAUCCAGAUAAGGAGACAAUGGCAGAGACACCUUCAUGUGACAACUGCACUUUCACCGAACCUCAGCUUCCUCAUGUGUAACGAGGGUGAUGCACAGAGUCCAGCUGGAUAAAUGUGACUGCCAUUCUUCCAACCUUUGAAACCAAGGAGGCUCCCAGAGCCAACAACACACUCUUUCCCCAGUUGUUAGUUGCUUGAAGAAAAAUCUGAGGGCACUUCCAGGACAGAGCCCAGGCUCUGAGGGCACUGGGCACUACCUGCUUUCUGCCAAGGGGGAGGAGACUAGCUGAGCAUGGGCAGGAGGAACGGGGCUGCUCUGUAGGUUGGAGGUGCGGGCUCUAGCCUGCUGCCUGGGGAUGAGAUGGGCAAUCCCACCAUCUGCUGAGGCUGAUAGAAGCCAUCCUGCUUCCUUGAGCUCUGUGCUGUUUGGAGGAGAGGCUGAGCCCUGGGCAGUGGAGUACAGUGGGCACCUUCCCCACCCUCUGCCACCAGGAGGGAGUGAACAAAGGAUGAACACCUGUUAGUGCCCAAGUAGGAGAGAAGGUAAAGGUACUGAGCUCCUGUGCACAGCUGGAGAUAAUCAAACCUCUUCAUGUCUCUGAAAAGAAGAGUAUGGAAGGGGGAGGGCUCCCUCUCUGAAGCCUGAAAGACAGCUGGCCACCCUCCUCCCCUCGCUCUAGCUCUGGUCAAACUGAACUGCUCCUGCUUCACCCAUCCAUGCCUCUCCUCUGGCAGCUCCCUCCUCCCGGAGAGACUUCCCAGCCACAUCCAACCCCUCAAGGCCUAGGUAAAAUGUCCCCUCUUCCAGGAAGCACAUUUUGACUGCCAUGCCCAGGCUGCUCCCCUUCCCCUGAACUCUCCCUCUGAGCAUCAGGUGUACCUUUCCUGUCCCUCACCAGUGGCAAUUUGUACUGUUGACUACAUCACAGCCACACCUCCACAGGUGUAUUUCCUCUCUGGGGGACACAGAUGAUGGUAUUGGCUCCUAGCACAGGCUUUGGAGCUAGGCAGGCCUGAACUCAAACACCAGGUUUUGCCAUUUAUUAGACAUCUGCCCGUGGGAAAGUCACUUAUCUGUCUGUGCCUCAGUCUUUUCUGGAAAAUGGGCGCAAUAAUAGUACCUACCCCAUAGGGUUGUUGUUGCAAUUAAAUGAAAUAACGCACACUACGGAUUCAGCACAGAGUCUAGCACCAAGCAAGAGCUUAAUAAUGGAACUUUUUUGCUCCACUGACCUUUCAGGAGGCUCGCAGAUGAUUGUUCUGUACAUCUGCCACAGAGCCACGAGCUGGAUGGAUGGAUGGAUACAUGGAUUUCUACGGAGGCAGAUCUGCAAAGAGCAUACGGAAGCCCUUUCCCCCAGGCUGAACAGUGGAACCUGGGAGGGGCUGCCUCUGCAGGUCACGAGCUCCACGUUGCAGAGCAGCAUGCCAGCAGAUAUGGGAUGGCCACUCGAACUGCUGACCAGAGGCAACAAAUGUGGUCGUAGAAAUGGGCUCCUGGCCUCUUCUCAUUCAGCAUGUGACCUCGGCCUCUCAUUAACUGUGCCUCGGUUCCCCAUCCAUACAAUCGGGAUGGUAACAGUACCCACCUAAGAGACAUGGAUGGGUACAAUUUAGUGAGGAUUAAAUUAAAUAAUACCUAUAAGGCAAUAGAACAUACUCAGCACGGGGAGAGUAAUUCAAUAAAUAUGACCUGUUAUUAUCAUCAUUGAUAUUUGCAUUACGAUCACUGAAGAGAAGAGUUAGAGCCCCUUGCGGGCCUAUGAACUGUUCACUGUCUUAUAACCCAGGACUCCACUAAUAUCCUAGGGUACUCUCAUGGCUCUGUGUGCCCGGCAGGCUUCACUCCCCUUCUGGUUACAGCCCAGCCCCCUCAUUAGCUACAUAGAUAGUAGACAAAUGACCAAGGCAUGGCCACUCAGAAUGUCCCUAUCCCCAAGCAACAAUGACUGUCCCAGUUAAAGUCCUUCCCUUGGAUUGAUACAUAGAUCCUAAAAGAAAAAAUAGUUCCUUUUUUCUGUUUGGGUUGCUAAGCUGGACAGAUAGUUCCUAAUAAGAGCAGGAAGGAGACACAGCAGUGGUAAGAGAGAGAUGGAGAGUCCACUUGACUCCUCAUCCUUCAAUUCCAUGAACUGCUCCAGGAUUUGUUAGAGUCCUUUUCUGGUUUAACCCACUUUGAGUUGAGUUUUUGUCACUUUAUUUAUGAAAAACCAUGCCUAAUUGUACAGGCCCUGAUCUGUGUAAGGUGUAGGCUUACCUUAGGCUUAGGUGUGGGCAGGGCAGGACAGAAGGAAGUAUUAUAAUUGCUGCUGGACAGUCUGGCAUAAUCUCUAUCAUCUGGGCUGCAAGGGACUGUCUACAAAGCAUGUUCUCAAGAAUCAUCCUGAUCCAGUGGUCUUUAAACAUUGCUUCCUGGAGCCUUGAGAAUCUACAGAGGGAAUCUGCACCUCUCAAAAUACUCACGGAACAAGGGCUGUAAGGAGGGCAGCAAGAUUCUGGGUAAACUGCCACUAAUUCAACCACAACAGUUUUGCUACAAAAACUAUGUAUUGGGAUUCUGCUACCCCAAAUGAUUGGAAAUACGCUAUUCUAACUGACUAUCAGAAGAGCACUAAGGAGCCAGGGCUGAUGUGUCCAUCCGCAUUGUUCAGAAGAGAAAUGAGACCCAGUUCUGGACAUGCACAUGAUUCCCAGUGUUUCAGGUUCCCUGU